rnacentral:misc_RNA from 1 species
GAUGAAGAACGUAGCGAAAUGCGAUAAGUAGUGUGAAUUGCAGAAUUCAGUGAAUCAUCGAAUCUUUGAACGCACAUUGCGCCCUUUGGUAUUCCUUAGGGCAUGCCUGUUCGAGCGUCAUUUCAACCCUCAAGCACAGCUUGGUCUUGGGCUUCGCCGCUAACCCGGCGGGUCUUAAAAUCAGUGGCGGUGCCGUCGGGCCCUGAGCGCAGUAAUCUCUCUCGCUAUAGGGUCCCGGCGGAUGCUGGCCAGUAACCCCCAAUUUUCUAUGGUUGACCUCGGAUCAGGUAGGGAUACCCGCUGAACUUAAGCAUAUCAAUAAGCGGAGGA